UUCGCCCAUUAAAGCGGUACGUGAGCUGGGUUCAGAACGUCGUGAGACAGUUCGGACUCUAUCCAUCGUGGGCGCAGGAGACUUGAGGGAAGCUGCCCAUAGUACGAGAGGACCUGGGUGGACGUACCUCUGAUGUACGAGCUGUCCUGCCAAGGGCACCGCUCGGUAGUCAAGUACGGUCGGGAUAACCGCUGAAGGCAUCUAAGCGGGAAGCCCGUCCCAAGAUUAGGUCUCCCGUUCCUGGGGAAACUCAGGACCUAAAGACCCCUGGUAGACUACCAGGUUGAUAGGCUGGAGGUGUAAGCACCGUGAGGUGUUUAGCCUACCAGUACUAAUAGGUCGUGCGUCUUGACUUA
rnacentral:rRNA from 1 species